rnacentral:rRNA from 1 species
CCUGGCUCAGAACGAACGCUGGCGGCAGGCCUAACACAUGCAAGUCGAACGUGAAAGGGGCUUCGGCCCUGAGUAAAGUGGCGCACGGGUGAGUAACACGUGAAUAAUCUGCCCUUAUGUCUGGGAUAGCAGACCGAAAGGACUGGUAACCCCGGAUAAGCUUCCGCGCCAACCGGGCGAGUGGAGAAAAAUACGGGAUCGCAAGACCGUAUGCAUAAGGAUGAGUUCGCGUCCCAUUAGAUAGUUGGUGAGGUAAUGGCUCACCAAGUCGACGAUGGGUAGCUGGUCUAAGAGGAUGAUCAGCCACACUGGAACUGAGACACGGUCCAGACUCCUACGGGAGGCAGCAGUGGGGAAUCUUGCGCAAUGGAGGAAACUCUGACGCAGCCAUGCCGCGUGAGUGAUGAAGGCCCUCGGGUUGUAAAGCUCUGUCUAAGGGGACGAAUGGCCAGGAAUCCAACAGGUUUCUGGAUUGACGGUACCCUUAAAGAAAACACCGGCUAACUCCGUGCCAGCCGCCGC